rnacentral:rRNA from 1 species
CCAGGCUAAAACUCAAAGGAAUUGACGGGGCCCCGCACAAGCGGCGGAGCAUGCGGAUUAAUUAGAUGCAACGCGUAGAACCUUCCCUGGGUUUCACAUGGAUCGGGAGUGCUCAGAGAUGGGUGUGCCUCUUUUGGGGUCGGUUCACAGGUGGUGCAUGGCUGUCGUCAGCUCGUGUCGUGAGAUGUUGGGUUAAGUCCCGCAACGAGCGCAACCCUUGUUCACUGUUGCCAGCACGUUAUGGUGGGGACUCAGUGGAGACCGCCGGGGUCAACUCGGAGGAAGGUGGGGAUGACGUCAAGUCAUCAUGCCCCUUAUGUCCAGGGCUUCACGCAUGCUACAAUGGCUGGUACAGAGAGUGGCGAGCCUGUGAGGGUGAGCGAAUCUCGGAAAGCCGGUUUCAGUUUGGAAUUGGGGUCUGCAACUCGACCUCAUGAAGUCGGAGUCGCUAGUAAUCGCAGAUCAGCAACGCUGCGGUGAAUACGUUCCCGGGGCUUGUACACACCGCCCGUCAAGUCAUGAAAGUUGGUAACACCCGAAGCCGGUGGCCUAACCGUUGUGGGGGAGCCGUCGAAGGUGGGACUGGUGAUUAGGACUAAGUCGUAACAAGGUAACCAAGGG